UGAGGAACUACUGAACAUAAAGGUAAUAGUUCAGAGAUAUGCUUUGGAAAGACUACUUCAUCAGGUUAUAUGGAAAACUGGGAAACAUUUGGAGCUGUGCAGACAACUCAGAAAGUCAUCACAACAAUUGAGAAUUUGUAACUUCAAGCCAUAUUCUGACCGUAAGAGAAACCCAAACUAUGUGGCAUUGUUUUAGCAGUUAAGCUUGAAAUCUGCCAUCCUUGGACGUUGUGGUAAAGUGUUUGGUUUAGAAAAAUUUUGUACCUCAUAUGUCAAGAGAGAGGACUUUUGUUGCUCAAACGUCUCUCAUGAAGAUUUUCAAGCAAAGGGACCUAGCCCUCCUGCAAAAGAGAAGAUUGAGGUGGAGAUGUCCACAAGAACCAUAAAGGAGCUUCUCCUGAACAAGUAUAGAUUCGUGGAUCAUUGCAGUGCCAGUGGGUAGACUAUGCAAGCCAGUGAAGGUUCAUUGCUUAGAUCUCUAGGAGAGUCUACAGCAAAGACGGUUGUUGGGUGGCAGUCUCCAUCCGACACAACUUUGAGUAUUCUGCAGUGUUAAACUGAGUCACAUGCUCCCCAGGGAUACUUCUAGCCAUUGACUGAGGAUGCUGGGGAGACCACAACUAGGUCAUUUCAUAACCUCCUCAGAUUAGGAAUUGGAAGCACAAGAGAAGUUAAAUAACUUUCCUGGCAUCCUAUAACUAAUAAGACUGCAAACCCAGGAUGUUUCAUAUGAGAGGAUAAGAAACAACAGGUGUCCAGUAUUCUGAAGGAUGCCAUUAUGGAGUUGCCUAGGUGAUUCACUAGGAUGUAUUAUCAUGUUAUGCCUCAUAUUCUUUUGGAUUUUCUUGACAGAAACAUGUUGGACUAAUGAUAAGGAACAUCCAGCCAAAUGAUUGAAUAGUGGAGUAUGUCUGACUACAGAGCUUUGAAUGUAGCCUGAGGAGUUGAAAUGUAUUCUG